GGAAUGAUUGAUACAUAUAGAAGUACCUACGAUGAACACUUUGUAAAAAUUUCCAUUCUGUUUUGCAUAGGUAUACGUACAAUCAGACGUGCUACAUUAAAGUUUGAACUCGAGUUUAGUGAGUUUAGGUACGUUGGAAUAAUUUUCGGUCAAACUUGGAAAUCAUUUUACGUGAUUUUUCAAAUUCAAGGUAAACGAGAUUCACAGAUGGAUAGGAGAGCGAACGUGAAGUGGAUUUACGCGAUUGGUGUUGUUUUAAUCAUUACAAACGCAGUGUCUGGAGUCAGUGGUGUCGAACCAGAUAAUUCUGCGCUCAGAAUAAGAAUGGACGAACCCUAUCCAGAAUUUGAUAGUAAAUUUUGUCAGACACAGAAGGAAAUUUGUGGGUGCAAUAUGGUGAGAACCAGGACUAACGAACAUAUACAUAUUUAUCCAUUAAGAGCAGUAAAUGGCAUAAUUGAGUUUAAAUUCAAUGUGAAAGCGGAACGCGACGCUGCUCUGAUGUUUUCCACAAACGAGUUCGUUGAAUGGGGAAGAAAUGCUUAUUGGAUAAUACUGGGCGGAUAUCUGCGCACAAAUACGAAUAAUACGUUAGCAAAAAUCCAAACGGUGUAUGGUCCUCAGUAUGGAGGAGUUCAGGUAGAAAUGGAAUCCUUGUUGUCACCCUACGAAUGGCGCGAAUUCUGGAUUCAAAUCAAUCCUGAUACAGUAAAAGUAGGAAGAAAGGACGAAAACGCAUUCAUUGAAUUAAAAAAUGCACCCGGUUAUCAUAUUCGGUAUUACAGCGUUUCUUCUUGGGGGGGUUCUCCUGUUGAUUGGAACGUUCGGUGGGGUUCUACUGUUUUAUGGUACCUUCCUUGUAUCGAGGAAAAAGAUAUCACGUGGUGAGAUUUUUGUUGACAGACGGUAUUCAUGUUUUAAAUCACACACUGCCGAUACAGUUAUGAGUAAUUGCCGGAAUAAAAAUUUUUCAAAAUUAAA